rnacentral:rRNA from 1 species
GACGAACGCUGGCGGCGUGCUUAACACAUGCAAGUCGAACGGAAAGGCCCUGCUUUUGUGGGGUGCUCGAGUGGCGAACGGGUGAGUAACACGUGAGUAACCUGCCCUUGACUUUGGGAUAACUUCAGGAAACUGGGGCUAAUACCGGAUAGGAGCUCCUGCUGCAUGGUGGGGGUUGGAAAGUUUCGGCGGUUGGGGAUGGACUCGCGGCUUAUCAGCUUGUUGGUGGGGUAGUGGCUUACCAAGGCUUUGACGGGUAGCCGGCCUGAGAGGGUGACCGGCCACAUUGGGACUGAGAUACGGACCAGACGCCUACGGGAGGCAGCAGGGGGGAAUAUUGCACAAUGGGCGGAAGCCUGAUGCAGCAACGCCGCGUGCGGGAUGACGGCCUUCGGGUUGUAAACCGCUGUCGCCUGUGACGAAGCGUGAGUGACGGUAAUGGGUAAAGAAGCACCGGCUAACUACGUG